rnacentral:rRNA from 2 species
GGAUCCAGACUCUGAUCCUGGCUCAGGAUGAACGCUAGCUACAGGCUUAACACAUGCAAGUCGAGGGGAAACGAUAGAGAAAGCUUGCUUUUUCUAGGCGUCGACCGGCGCACGGGUGAGUAACGCGUAUCCAACCUGCCCACCACUUGGGGAUAACCUUGCGAAAGUAAGACUAAUACCCAAUGAUAUCUCUAGAAGACAUCUGAAGGAGAUUAAAGAUUUAUCGGUGAUGGAUGGGGAUGCGUCUGAUUAGCUUGUUGGCGGGGUAACGGCCCACCAAGGCGACGAUCAGUAGGGGUUCUGAGAGGAAGGUCCCCCACAUUGGAACUGAGACACGGUCCAAACUCCUACGGGAGGCAGCAGUGAGGAAUAUUGGUCAAUGGGCGAGAGCCUGAACCAGCCAAGUAGCGUGCAGGAUGACGGCCCUAUGGGUUGUAAACUGCUUUUAUAAGGGAAUAAAGUGAGCCUCGUGAGGCUUUUUGCAUGUACCUUAUGAAUAAGGACCGGCUAAUUCCGUGCCAGCAGCCGCGGUAAUACGGAAGGUCCGGGCGUUAUCCGGAUUUAUUGGGUUUAAAGGGAGCGUAGGCCGGAGAUUAAGCGUGUUGUGAAAUGUAGAUGCUCAACAUCUGCACUGCAGCGCGAACUGGUUUCCUUGAGUACGCACAAAGUGGGCGGAAUUCGUGGUGUAGCGGUGAAAUGCUUAGAUAUCACGAAGAACUCCGAUUGCGAAGGCAGCUCACUGGAGCGCAACUGACGCUGAAGCUCGAAAGUGCGGGUAUCGAACAGGAUUAGAUACCCUGGUAGUCCGCACGGUAAACGAUGGAUGCCCGCUGUUGGUCUGAAUAGGUCAGCGGCCAAGCGAAAGCAUUAAGCAUCCCACCUGGGGAGUACGCCGGCAACGGUGCAACUCAAAGGAAUUGACGG